CGGGGUGUGGCGUAGCUUGGUAACGCGCAUGGUUUGGGACCAUGAGAUCGGUGGUUCAAAUCCACUCGCCCCGACCA
rnacentral:tRNA from 5 species